rnacentral:rRNA from 1 species
GAUGAACGCUGGCGGCGUGCCUAAUACAUGCAAGUCGAGCGAACAGACGAGGUGCUUGUUCCUCUGACGUUAGCGGCGGACGGGUGAGUAACGCGUGGAUAACCUACUUAUAAGACUGGGAUAACUUCGGGAAACCGGAGCUAAUACCGCAUAAUAUAUUGAACCGCAUGGUUCAAUAGUGAAAGACGCUUUUGCUGCCACUAAUAGAUGGAUCCCGGUCGCUUUAGUUGGUUGGUAAGGUAACGGCCUACCAAGGGGACGUUGCGUACCCGACCUGAGAGGGGGAUCGGCCACAUGGGAACGAGAACACGCUCAAGCCUCCUACGGGAGGCAGCAGUGGGGAACCUUCGGCAAUGGGCGAAAGCCUGACGGAGCAACGCGGCGUGGGUGAGGAAGGUCUUCGGUUCGUAAAACUCUGUUGUUGGGGAAGAACAAAUGUGGAAGUAAAUAUGCACGUCUUGACGGUACCUAAUCAGAAAGCCACGGCUAACUACGUG